rnacentral:tRNA from 1 species
UACCGGAUAGCUCAGUCGGUAGAGCAGAGGAUUGAAAAUCCUCGUGUCGGUGGUUCGAUUCCGCCUCCGGGCACCA